UACGUAGGGUGCAAGCGUUAAUCGGAAUUACUGGGCGUAAAGCGUACGCAGGCGGCUUUGCAAGACAGGUGUGAGAUCCCCGGGCCUAACCUGGGAACUGCAUUUGUGACUGCAUGGCUAGAGUUUGUCAGAGGGGGGUGGAAUUCCACGUGUAGCAGUGAAAUGCGUAGAUAUGUGGAGGAACACCGAUGGCGAAGGCAGCCCCCUGGGAUGUGACUGACGCUCAUGUACGAAAGCGUGGGGAGCAAACAGG
rnacentral:rRNA from 1 species